rnacentral:rRNA from 1 species
CCUACGGGGGGCAGCAGUGGGGGAUAUUGCACAAUGGGGGGAACCCUGAUGCAGCGACGCCGCGUGGGUGAAGAAGCGCCUCGGCGCGUAAAGCCCUGUCAGUAGGGAAGAAAAUGACGGUACCCGAAGAAGAAGCCCCGGCUAACUACGUGCCAGCAGCCGCGGUAAUACGUAGGGGGCAAGCGUUGUCCGGAUUUACUGGGGGUAAAGGGGGCGGAGGCGGGGCUGAAAGCUAGGAGGUAAAGCCCGGGGCCUAACCCCGGGACUGCUCUUGGAACUGCGUGGCUUGAGUGCAGGAGGGGCAGGCGGAAUUCCUGGUGUAGCGGUGAAAUGCGUAGAUAUCAGGAGGAACACCGGUGGCGAAGGCGGCCUGCUGGACUGCAACUGACGUUGAGGCCCGAAAGCGUGGGGAGCAAACAGGAUUAGAUACCCUGGUAGUC